AGUGGGGAAUAUUGCACAAUGGGCGCAAGCCUGAUGCAGCCAUGCCGCGUGUGUGAAGAAGGCCUUCGGGUUGUAAAGCACUUUCAGCAAGGAGGAAAGGGUGUAAGUUAAUACCUUACAUCUGUGACGUUACUUGCAGAAGAAGCACCGGCUAACUCCGUGCCAGCAGCCGCGGUAAUACGGAGGGUGCGAGCGUUAAUCGGAAUUACUGGGCGUAAAGCGUACGCAGGCGGUUUGUUAAGCGAGAUGUGAAAGCCCCGGGCUUAACCUGGGAACUGCAUUUCGAACUGGCAGGCUAGAGUGUGAUAGAGGGUGGUAGAAUUUCAGGUGUAGCGGUGAAAUGCGUAGAGAUCUGAAGGAAUACCGAUGGCGAAGGCAGCCACCUGGGUCAACACUGACGCUCAUGUACGAAAGCGUGGGGAGCAAA
rnacentral:rRNA from 1 species